rnacentral:lncRNA from 1 species
UAUAUAGGUCCAUACAAAUAUAGAGAAUUGCAAAUAUAUUACUAAAAAUUUUAACUUUUAUAUAUUGUUCCUGUAAAAGUUGUAAUAUUUUUAAAAAUGCCCAUCUGAUUUGUUACCAUUAGAGAACUAUUUAUAUUUUAAUAGUAAAUAAGUAAAAUAUCAAUUUUGUCAUCACAAAUAUAUCUCUCCAAAAGCCGCAAUAAUAUAAUAUAAGAAGAAUAAAAAUAUCAAAUUAUUUCAUCAACUAACCAAGGUUAAGUAUUUAACUUAUAAUUAAUUAAAAUUUUCUAACAGAUUUUAACGGCAGGAACAUAUUUGAAAACAAUAGGAUUUUUAUACGAACAACAUAUGAAAGUUAAACUUUGAGAGAUAUAUUUGUAAUUUACUAUAUUUAUAGGAAUCUAUAUGCAUUUAACCCUUGAGAAAAAAAUAUAUUACUU